UCAAUUUGCAGUUUUGAUAAAUCACCUUCCAAAGACACAGUUUGUUACCUUUACGAAAAAUCACUGAGUGUGUUACUGUGCACAGAUUUUCACUUGAGACUGGAUGGUUAUGACUUUGAAGAAUAAACUAAGGUUUGCCUUUUCUAAAAAUCAUGGCACCAGAAAAACUACACUCCUCACCAUAUUAUGUAUAUGGUGGGUGCUUACCUGGACUGGUGCCCAAGCGACAACAGAACACCAGAAUCCUGAGACAUCUAAAAUGGAGAAAAUGAGGAUGAAUGAUGAUUUCAGGCAAAACACAAAUGCAACGCAUGAAUCCAAUAAAGAAACUUCCCAACAAUCUGCAGCUAUACACAUUGAAAAUGCCACAGGAGCUAGAGCUACCUCUCAUACUAAAAGUGAUACAAAACCAAUUAGAGCAUUAUCCACUACUGGUACAGCAGUACCUCCCAGGAGAGUCUCGAUCAAAAAUUCAACAGAAAAAACAAGCUAUACUACAACACUGGCUCCUAGACCUAUUGGAAAUUUACCAGUGAUGACUACUCACUCAACACCUGAUUCAAAUACAGCUAACGUAAAGCUGGUGUUCGACUGCUCAUUUCCUGUUCCCAGUGAGAGUAUGGUCUUGAAUGCUAUCCAAACUCUGCUGAUCUCUCGAUCUGCAAACAUCUCAGAUACAGUGAAAGUACUGGGCUUCUACUAUAAUAAAACCUCAGCCAACUCCUAUGAAGUUAAUUUCAUAAUCAACAUUAGUAUCAUCAUGCCAGAGAAGCAUGCCCUCAGGAAAAACACCUACAAGCAAAUCCAAACAUCCAUCAGCAACACAGUAAGUAAACAUGACCACCUGUGUAAAAGUUUGAUCUACUGGAUUUAAUGAGCAUGUGAUACUUUAAAAAAGGUUAAAAAUAAAUAAAUUUUUUUAACAUAAAAAAAAGGUAAAAAAAAAAAAAAAAUAGACUCUGAGUGAUUUGUGAAAUCAGUCAGGCAAAUGGAUUUAAAAUUCACAAUGACAGAAGAAUGUUUAAAUAUGUUUUUGGUUAAUCAAAAGAAAAGUCAUGUAUUUUCACUUUCCCUGAAAGAUUACUUGCUGCAAACCAGUGAGGAGUGAAGUGUGAGUUUCACAAUAUGUAGACCAUUUUUAUCAGGCAGGUGUUCCACAACUGUUGGAUGUUAGCAUCUAUGCAAUUUUUCUCUGCUAAAAAAAAAAAAAUCAGGAGGCAGCAAUGAGGCCUCAACAAUGUACAAAUAGACAGUUGGUUAAAGUUAGCUAACUAGUGUAUUUUACUAGUUUCGCCAAAACACAGUAAAAUGGAGUUAGAGGAAGUGACUUGCAAAAAGUAUCUGUGAACAGCUGUAGGGCCCUUAAAUUUACACAGAAAAUAAAGUGAAGAGCUGAUUAGCAGGGGGGAAAAAAACAAGUGUGUUCUCAGUCAUGUGCAAUUGGUUUGUUGUAAUAAGUUCAGUACUGUAAAGUCAGUCAGACAGAUUGCAUUUCCAUAAAAAAUUUAAAUUAGAAAUAUGUUUUAAAUAAGAUAUAUCUUUUCAAUGGGAUUUACUCGUUGUGGCCAGCAAAAUGAAGACUGAUGAAUGUACAGUGAACAAUUAAAACUGAAACAUCUGUGCUAGGAUAGCUACUAGCAGAAUUUUAAAUAUAUAUUUUCAUCUCCAGCUAAACAUUUUAUUAAAUGAACCUGGUGCAGAACCAUUUGAACCCCAUACCUCCUACAUCAUGUAAGUUCAAAGAAGCAUUGGUUUAUUAAAUCAUACUGUACAGUGAAUUGCAUGAUUGUCAUGUUUACAUUUUGCUGCUCUCCUUACAGGGAUGUGGACAUUGAAAUAGAGUACAAUUUUGGAUGUGGGGAUUGCAAACGACCAAUCAGCUUCCUAAAUGAAAUCAGUGGUAUGUUACACCACAGAUUCUGGCCUUAAGAAUGGAGAAUGGGUGGUUGAAAUUAAAUAAAUGCUCCAGUAAUUGUAUCUGUUAUUAAAACUGCUUUCAUGCGACUUCACCCACAACAGCUUUAGCAACAACUCCAAGAACGACAACAGUUCCUCCAACAACUUCAAGACAUGAGAACAUAACUGGAACUGUAUACAUUUAUAUUAAGGUUAUAUUUGAGAACUUGACACAUGUACCUACCGAGGCUGAUGUUAUCAGUGCUGCUAAUGAUCUCCUGGAAUCAAACAAAUCAGUGAGAGAUCUUGGAAUAGAAGAACUGACUGACCCUGUCAGCAUAAAGAACAUCGCCUAUCAGAAAACGGGAAGCAACUCAUAUAGCAUAGACUUUGCAUUCAAAAUCAGCAAUGUGAGCAUGUCUGUGAUGACGGACCAGAGGAGCGCAACAUAUGAGUUAAUACAGUACAAAAUCAACAGCCUGAUGAACACAAUCUUGAAUGCCCCAACUGAGGCAUCAGUUAACUUCUCACAAGCAAAUUACACGGGUAAUGCUACAUUAAUAGAGGCAACUGAAAUAUACAUCUAUAGGGAGUGUGAUAUCAAGUCGACAAGUGAGUUUCUUCUUCAACUCCUAACACUUCAUACACCUCCUGCCAUUGGAUCAGCUGAGGUUCAAACCACCAUGGUGUUCAGCUCGUCCUCUCCUGUUCCCAGUGAGAGUUUGGUCCUCGGUGCUAUCACAGUUCUGCUUAACUCUCGACUCACAAACCUCACUGACUCUGUAACAGUGCUGAACUUCACCUAUGAGAAAAUAUCAGACACAUCCUAUGCAAUCAUUUUCAUAUUCAAGAUCAGUAACAUCAGCAUUCCAGAGAACCCUAACCUCAGGAACGAAACCCACAGCCAUGUAAAGAGCAUCAUCAAUGACGCUCUAAACAUGCUACUAAAUAGGCCUUGUGCAGUGCGAUUUGAAACCAACAAUUUCAACUUCACAAGAUCAGAAGAUAAGAUUGAUGGAUACAUGAACUACACUUUCCAACAAUCAGAAACCAAAAAACCAGCCAGCUUCUUCGAUGAACUCAAGAUUAUACCUGGUUUGGUUGUGGUCAAUACCACCCUGGUGUUCAACUCGUCCUCUCCUAUUACCUGUGAGAGUUUUUACCACAGUGCUCUCGAAGCUCUGCUGAACUCUAGACACACAAACCUUACUGAGUCUGUAAGAGUGCUGACCUGUGAGGAAAUUUCAAACACCUCCUACACAGUUAGCAUUAAAUUCAUCAGUAACAUCAGCAUGCCGAGCAACCCUGACCUCAGGAACGACACCUACACCCAAGUGGAGAACAUCAUCAAUAACGCAGUAAACACACUUCUAAACAAUUUUGGUUCAGAUCCAUUAAAACCCACUACCUCCAACUUCACGAGUUCAGAGAAUGAAGUUACUGGUUACAUGGAAUACAAUCUCAAAGUCUCCCUCAAUCAGACUGGGAAUGCUACAGUGCAGACUUCUCCAGAACCUCCAUCCACAAUGAACGGAACUGUAUACAUUUUCAUAACAUUGAAAUUCAAUAACUUGAUCACUCUACCUACUGAGGCUGUGGUUCUCAGAGCUGCUAAUGAAAAGCUCGAUCCAAAGAUCAGAAGACAGCGUGAUACUACAACAAAACUGAGUACACCUAUCCGUAUACAGAACAUCAAUUAUACUCGAACGGGCAACAACUCAUUCAGUUUGGACAUGGCAUUCAUGAUCAGCGAUGUUAAUAUGUCUGUUCGAUGUGAUUUCAACUAUAGCUUAAUACAAGAACAAAUAAACAACCUGAUGAAUACAAUCCUGACUAAUCCACAGAACCAAACAUUUAUCUUCCCAUGGGCAAACUUCACGUGUAAUGUUUCCGGAUUAGUGAUUGUGGCUGAACAAGUAUAUGUCUAUAACGAGACGGAUAUAAAGACACCAAGUGGCUUUGUUCAUGAAAUACUCAAAGCAAGUGGUCUGUUGUACUAUACAAUUCCUGCCAUUACAAGCAUUCAGCCCACCACAAAACCUGGAAACAGCACCGAUACAGGGGCUGCAUGGAUUUUGGGCUUCGUUAUCCCAUGUGGUAUAGUCCUCAUUCUUCUCCCAUGUUGGAUUCUACUCUGUUGUAUUCUUUGUGGAUGCUGUGCAGGAAUUAGAAGACGUUGGCUCAGGCGACGAUCAUACAACGUUCAGUAUCAAACUCACAGCAGUCUCUUCUAAAGCACAACAUACCAUACAUUCUCAAUUGGAGUUAUUAAUUUAAAGUGUUGUAAUCUGUCUUGAUGUACAAAAGCAGAUGCUUUUAGACAUACUAUUCCAUACUACACAGAGGUAAUUUAGUUAAGAUUAAAUCUGUAAAUAUAUGCAAUCACAAAAUAUUAUUCAUUAAUAAAUUAAUUUAUUCUUCUAAUUUAUUUUCAAACAAUAUAUGUUAAUUUAUUACUUUAUUACUUUAAAAAUAGUACUAUACAUUUCAUUUCAAAUAGAGGGAUAUGUUAUUUCUAAAUAACUAUUUAUUUACAUUUAUUUGCACUUUAUCAGUUUGUCAACAAUCAUUGUGCCAUGUUCUAUUGUGUGCUAUUAUUAUGCUGUGUAAUAUCAAUUCCUUUGAAGUACUAUUCUACUUAUGCCAUUAAAAUUAUUCCCCUGAAUGAAUUAUUCAUUUUCUUCAUAACUGAAAACACAAACUGUUUUACUGUUCUGUGCAAGAACAAUCCUCAAUCCUAUAGGUUCCUAUUGAAUCUGCUAGACAGUGGAAUUAAGAGUGUACAGUUGCAAUCAAAAUCAUUCAACCCCUACUGCAAAUUAGAUUUAUUGUAAAAAUGUACAGACUUUCAGCUGCGAUGAACAAAUCAAACAAAAGCAAUUGAAAUAGUUCAACCCGACGAAUGCUUCAAGGGGUUUCCCCAAAUUGAAAAUGCAUCUUAUAAUAACUUCUCCAGUUUCAAAAUUAUUCACCCCCCUGAAUAGAAUCCCUCACAACAGCACAAAUAUGUAAAACAGGUGUUGUCUCAAUCACUGAUGCUAAACUAAUCAAGGGCUUCAUUAGCUGCACCAGGUGUGGUUGAGCUGGAACACAUGAAAUGCCUGAACUAGGGGCAGAAAAUUCAUGAAAUACCUGGACGGGGCAGAAAAAGGAAGCUAUAAACGGUUGCAACCAGAUUUCUGAGAAGGCAGGUUGUGAAAAACCCUCGAGUGACUGUGAAAGACCUGCAGCAAGACUUGGUGGCAACAGGCACUGAGGUUUCAAUAAGCAUAGUAAGGCGCGUAUUAAACACAUAAGGUUUCCAUGCCAGAACUCCAAGACGUUCACCACUACUGACUCAAAAUCAUAUAAAUAAGGCACAGAAGUUUUGGGAUUCUGUUCUGUGGAGCAACGAAACAAAACUGGAACAUUUCGGCAGGAUGGAUCAGCGGUAUGUCUGGAGGAAGAAUGAAGAAAGAACGCUGUCCACAGUCAAGCAUGGCGGUGGCUUGGUGAUGCUCUGGGGCUGUUUUGCAUCCACUGGCACUGGAAACCUGCAGCGUGUGGAAGGCGAGAUGGAUUCAUUGAAGUAUCAGGAAAUCCUAUGAGAAAACAUCAUGCCGUCUGUGAGGAACCUGAAGCUUGGGUAUCAUUGGACCUUCCAACAGGACAAUGAUCCCAAGCAUAUCUCAAAUUCCACCAAGGCUUGGUUGCAGAGGAAGUCCUGGAAAAUUCUACAGGGCCAUCACAGUCACCUGACUUGAACCCCAUAGAAAACCUCUGGUGGAAUUUGAAGAAGGCGUUUACUGCAUGCAAACCCAAGAAUAUUACUGAACUGGAGGCCACUGCUCAUGAGGAAUGUGAUAAGAUUCUUCAGGAACACUGCCAGAAACUGGUGUCUGGCUAUGCAUCUUGUUUGCAGCAGGUCAACAGCAAAAGGAGCUCUACUAAGUACUAAAGAUGCUUGUCAUGAAGGGGUUGAAUAAUUUUGAAAAGUUAUUAUAAAUUGCAUUUUCAGUUGAAUUUGGGGAAACCACUUGAAGCAUUAAUUAUGUCGAACUAUUUCAGUUACUUCUGUUUUGAUUUGUUCAUUGCAAACAGC
ensembl:lncRNA